rnacentral:rRNA from 1 species
AGAGCGAACGCUGGCGGCAGGCCUAACACAUGCAAGUCGAGCGCCCCGCAAGGGGAGCGGCAGACGGGAGAGUAACACGUGGGAACGUACCCUUCAGUUCGGAACAACCCAGGGAAACUUGGGCUAAUACCGGAUACGUCCGUAAGGAGAAAGAUUUAUCGCUGAAGGAUCGGCCCGCGUCUGAUUAGCUAGUUGGUGGGGUAACGGCUCACCAAGGCGACGAUCAGUAGCUGGUCUGAGAGGAUGAUCAGCCUCACUGGGACUGAGACACGGCCCAGACUCCUACGGGAGGCAGCAGUGGGGAAUAUGGACAAUGGGCGCAAGCCUGAUCCAGCCAUGCCGCGUGAGUGAUGACGGCCUUAGGGUUGUAAAGCUCUUUCGCUAGGGACGAUAAUGACGGUACCUAGACAAGAGCCCGGCUAACUUCGUGCCAGCAGCCGC